GACGAACGCUGGCGGCGUGCUUAACACAUGCAAGUCGAACGGAAAGGCCCUGCUUUUGUGGGGUGCUCGAGUGGCGAACGGGUGAGUAACACGUGAGUAACCUGCCCUUGACUUUGGGAUAACUUCAGGAAACUGGGGCUAAUACCGGAUAGGAGCUCCUGCUGCAUGGUGGGGGUUGGAAAGUUUCGGCGGUUGGGGAUGGACUCGCGGCUUAUCAGCUUGUUGGUGGGGUAGUGGCUUACCAAGGCUUCGACGGGUAGCCGGCCUGAGAGGGUGGCCGGCGACAUGGGGACUGAGGUACGGACCAGACUCCUACGGGAGGCAGCAGUGGGGAAUAUUGCAGAAUGGGCGGAAGCCUGAUGCAGCAACGCCGCGUGCGUGAUGACGGCCUUCGGGUUGUAAACCGCUUUCGCCUGUGACGAAGCGUGAGUGACGGUAAUGGGUAAAGAAGCACCGGCUAACUACGUG
rnacentral:rRNA from 1 species